GUAAUCGCCGGCCAGUCACCGCUAAAUCCACAACGUGGGCUGCCAAAGAUCAAAGAUGCCUGACAACUUGGCGGCAACUUGGGAUUUCCAGAGGCUUUCGAAGCUCUCAAAUAUUGGCUAUAAAAUGAGACAUUUCAUUGGCCAUCAAAACCCAAAUUAAAAUUAAAGAGUCUGCAAAUCCAUACAUUUAUACUAACCUUCAAUAUGGCUGAAGAAUCUGCUCCAAGAAAAACUGAAUGGCCAGAGCUUGUCUUUGUAAAAUAUUCUAUUGCUGCUGCGAUCAUAGAAAAAGAGAAUCCUGAUGUGGAAGCUGUCAAGAUUCUAUCUGGUACACCUAGAAUUCUGAAUUUUGAUAUCAAUCGAGUUUGGGUUGAUAUCAAUGUGGAAGAAGUAGUCGUGAAAAAGCCCAAGGUUGGUUAGAGACUGGAUGAUGUAUAAGGUUAAUCAUAUGUCAAAUGCUUAUUUAUGUCCAUCAUCAAUUGUACUAAUAAGUGGUAUUUCUACCAUUUCAACUCAUCGUUCCAAUAUUGUUAUUAUUAUUAAUUGUGCUGAUAUGUAAUAAAUUGUCAAAUUAAUUGUUACCAUCAUUGUCAACAAAGAUCAAUUCUUAGA